rnacentral:rRNA from 1 species
UACGUAGGGGGCAAGCGUUGUCCGGAAUUAUUGGGCGUAAAGGGCUCGUAGGCGGUUUGUCACGUCGGGAGUGAAAACACCGGGCUUAACUCGGUGCUUGCUUCCGAUACGGGCAGACUAGAGGCAUGCAGGGGAGAACGGAAUUCCUGGUGUAGCGGUGAAAUGCGCAGAUAUCAGGAGGAACACCGGUGGCGAAGGCGGUUCUCUGGGCAUGUCCUGACGCUGAGGAGCGAAAGUGUGGGGAGCGAACAGG